rnacentral:rRNA from 1 species
GACGAACGCUGGCGGCGUGCUUAACACAUGCAAGUCGAACGGUAAGGCCCUUCGGGGUACACGAGUGGCGAACGGGUGAGUAACACGUGGGUGAUCUGCCCUGCACUUCGGGAUAAGCCUGGGAAACUGGGUCUAAUACCGGAUAGGACCAUUGCCUGCAUGGGUGGUGGUGGAAAGCUUUUGCGGUGUGGGAUGGGCCCGCGGCCUAUCAGCUUGUUGGUGGGGUGAUGGCCUACCAAGGCGACGACGGGUAGCCGGCCUGAGAGGGUGACCGGCCACACUGGGACUGAGAUACGGCCCAGACUCCUACGGGAGGCAGCAGUGGGGAAUAUUGCACAAUGGGCGCAAGCCUGAUGCAGCGACGCCGCGUGAGGGAUGACGGCCUUCGGGUUGUAAACCUCUUUCAGCGCCGACGAAGCGCAAGUGACGGUAGGUGCAGAAGAAGGACCGGCCAACUACGUGCCAGCCGCCGCGGUAA